UACAGAGGUCUCAAGCGUUGUUCGGAUUCAUUGGGCGUAAAGGGUGCGUAGGUGGCGCUGUAGUGGAUGGUGAAUUACGGUAGCUAACUCCGAAACUGCAUUCGAUACUGCGGUGCUUGAGGACUGGAGAGGAGACUGGAAUUCAUGGUGUAGCAGUGAAAUGCGUAGAGAUCAUGAGGAAGACCAGUGGCGAAGGCGGGUCUCUGGACAGUUCCUGACACUGAGGCACGAAGGCCAGGGGAGCAAACGGG
rnacentral:rRNA from 1 species